UAGGACCAUGGAUCCACCUACCAAGGGAAGC
rnacentral:piRNA from 1 species